GACAGAGGGUGCAAACGUUGUUCGGAAUUACUGGGCGUAAAGCGUGUGUAGGCGGCUACGUAAGUCGGAUGUGAAAGCCCCGGGCUCAACCCGGGAAGUGCACUCGAUACUGCGUAGCUUGAGUACCGGAGAGGUUGGUGGAAUUCUCGGUGUAGAGGUGAAAUUCGUAGAUAUCGAGAGGAACACCGGUGGCGAAGGCGGCCAACCUGGACGAGUACUGACGCUGAGGCACGAAAGCGUGGGGAGCAAACAGG
rnacentral:rRNA from 1 species